GUCCCUGCUUUGGGGUCAAAACCUGGCCUUCCCAGGUGUGGGCUGGGGGAAGGGGAAAAGGAGGUGCGGCUUAGUUACCAUUACAACCAGAGCGCAGGUGCCAGGCUAGAGGAGCAGCCUUCAAGUGCUGCAGCAACUGCUGUGGCAACUGCCAGAACUGCUGAGGGCCUUCCAGAACCUUCCAGCCACUAGAAUCUUCCAACGGACGCUGGGCACCGGCAGUUUCAACAGCUGCUGCGAGCGACACUGGGUGUGAGUGACACAGCCCCAUCAGCUGCUGCCCGCAGGCUCCGGGGCUGUGCCCGCAUGGCUGCACCUGCCCUGCCAGCCCAGCCAGCUGUGCCCCUGUGCCCACGACCGCUGAAGGGCAGGGCCCUUCACACCAUCUCAACCAUGGCACCAACCCUUGCAUCCCCGCACCUUUCGGCCCCUUUGGCCUCUGCAGGGCUGCAGCUGACAGGUCCCCACUGCUCAGGGGUGGCAGCUCUCCCUGUGACUCACCGGGCUCACACCCCCACCUUUCCUGUGGGAAAGGGCCCUGGAGGCCCCACCGAGCCCACUGCGCUGCACAACUCCGCUGCAAUUCCCUCACGGCCAGGGCACCUUGCCCCGCCUUCAAAUGUCCUCAGUCUCCAGCCAGGCCCUCACUGGGUCCAGAGGGGAAAAAUUACCAGGCUCAAACCUCCCUCCUGGCCUUUCCUCAGUGCUGUCUCCCCUCCAUUGACAGGCAGUGCUCAGGAGUCAGAGGAAAAACAAACCCACCCCACUGUGGCACAGAUGCUGAUGUGUGACAUAUAAAAAUGCUAUACUGCACAGAUUUUGAAAAGAGGUGGCCCCCUUCAGCUUGUGAUAAAUCCUGUUCGGAAGCAAUGCAUAGCCUCAAAGGAGGAAACUGAAGAAUGGAAAAAGACAAGCAUUCCUCCACAGCCCGUACAGCCCAAGAGAUUAAGCCAUGACCAUCUGCAGUACCAGAACAGAGAACACCACACAGACAUGUGGGCCUCCAAGGAGCCAGCCAAAGUCUGCACAGGCCCCAGAAAAAUAUAGUACUCUAGUGUUUCAUGUGAGCAACUACAUCCUGCCAGCGCGCUGCAGAGCACAGUGCGGGCACUGGAGUGCAUCAGCUGUGUCGGAUGUGAGCUCUGUGGGUGCAAGGUGCCCCGCACAGCUCGGCGGUGUGCCAGCACAUCCUCCCGUACCUCUGCUCACAGGAUUUUCCCACCACCCUGAGCGCCUGAGCUCCACAUUCCAGCUACCCGCUGACAAUGUCUCUGUUCUUGGGAAGCUGUAAUUCGCGGCUCUUGCCAGCAUGUGGCAUAAGAGACGGAGCAGGCUGCCCGCUCUGCCCAGACUAAAACCGACCGACUUUUUAAAACGUCUGGCCAGUCGCUGCAGAGCCUGUGCUCCGACGCCGUCAGCAGUGUAUUCCAUCAGGAGCAAAGGUUCUCCAGGUUUCUUAUGGCACAGUAGUGAUGUUUCUUUACACACACACACACACACACACACAACACGAUUACAUAUGGAUCAGACCGUGACUGGAUAAUAGAAAGCACAAGGAAAAAGGUACUGAAAUGCCAGCUCUUUUGCAAGCAACAGAGUGACAGAGGAACUCCUGCUCGUGUCAGUAAUUAUCAAAAGUCAGAAUCUCAUGCACAGAAAUGGUACCCUUCCAGCAAUUAAACCGUGAACAGUUAGUGACAUAUUGAAUAAGGGCUCUCAAAUGUAUACAUGCAUUGAUACAGCCGGGCAUGCAAACUAGCAGGGUACUAAGCAAAGCAGAUGCUGAAGAAGCUCUAUUUAGUGAACCAGAAUUAACUUGCUCUCAUUGUUUUUAUGCAUCUUCCACAGUUGAACAGAUUGAUUACACUCAAAUAUCUUCCUUUUUAAGUGAUUCCACUUAUUCCAGUUCUUUGCUGAUGCCUGUUUCUCACUGAUUUUACCUGGCUACAGUCACUAGGGAGCUAGAUGCUUCAUGGUCACCAGCUCUGUAAUAAAGAUGAGGGAAUUAUAUCUCACACUGGCAGACCUUUAUGGCCCUGAACUACUGCAUUAUAGGACAUCACCAGAUUUUCAUACUUCUAAGUCCAGCUUCAUAUGCUUGGGCACAACAGUUCAGCAUGACUCAGUAGCAUACAAGAGCAUGGACUGAGCUAAGGACUGUUGUUGUGACCUCUGUAACCUUGAAUCACAGCACGGCUUUGCUCCAUCUGCAUGAUAUGAUUUCUAAUCUUAGGAACAAAGCCAGCCAUGCAGAAGACCUGAAGACAAAGAGCUGGAUCAGCAGGGAAUUGGGAAAAUGGAUGGAAGGGCAGAUGAAGAUGAACUGAAUACUAAUGCUAGCAGUUACAACAGUUCUGAGAGGCUGCUGUACCUGCACCCCCAGCUCUCAUUAUUUAAUAGGUCUGGAAACCCCCACUGUUUCAAUCUGCCAUUCUGGAUUAUUUCUCACCGAACUACAGACAACUGCAUUCACAUGCCUGUGCUUAAACCUUUUAUGUCUCACUGGCACCUGCAUUCAGAGAUAUUUCAGCACUGAAUUUACUCUUGCCUUAGUGUCUGUCUCCUAGAAAAGACAAGACCACAGCAUAUCAGGAGAGAUGACAAUUAUUAUCAGCCUGUUGUAUACAGUGGGCUGACAUGAAGAUUAUUCUGGCCUUGGGGAGCAAAGGAAGGUGAGGUAUUUUGAAAGAGAGCUACAAGAAUGAAGAUAAAAAUCACAUAAAGUUUUCCUAUCUCCUUCUGGCUUUGUUCCUCUGUAUUUCCACUCAGCUGAAAUGUUGUAACUAUAUGCCAGGCUUGGCAAAACGACAGGAGCAAGAAGAAAGUAAGAAUAUGCUCAAGGAAAGAGAAGUUCAAAACUCCCCUCUGAACUCGUAGAGCUGAGAGAAAGGCAACUGGCACCAGGGUAAUGUUUCCUUGUAACACAAUGCCAUCUGCUGGGACUUGCUAUAGCAGAUGAGGCAGUGCAAAUGAACUUGGGAUAAACAAGUCCAAUAAGGCUAGAAAACGCAUCCUGCCAUGUCAACACAGACUGAUCACAUUUGCAGUUAGCAACAAGGUAUGGUUUAAUAGAAGCAGUUUUUAGAGAUUUUUCAUUCCUUACUGCCUAAUACAUUGUCAUGGAGUAUGACAGUGUAUAUACAUCCUACAGAAUGUUCAGGCUGGCUAUUGCUGCUGUAAGCUUUUCCCUCUAGAGUGAAAACCAAACAUGUUGUGUCAUAACAGAAAAAAUUGAUACUUGCUGGGUUCACUGCUGUGUCACUUCUAAGUCAUGUUGAGCAGUGCAUUUGUCAUUCGUGCAGUGGACAGACAGUGAUAGGAUAGAUUUGUCAAUGAAAGUGAUGUUCUGCUUAGCAAGUAGGAUUUCCUACUGACUGUGAUUCCCAAAGGUAUGAUGCUGGAGGCCUGUUUGUUUGUGACUUGUUUGCUGGUUGAGAUCACUUGUAUGAUUGGAAGCGUAAGAUGCUGGUGCCAGACCUGAGUUCAAAUCCUAUCCUAACAUGUGACAGCCAUGUACCAUGAGACAGAUGAGGAGCCAGCAACUUUCCCCCAGCUGUUCCUGAAAGAGGUUUGUUCAUAUAGAUUGUGUUUGAUAGCAACAAACUGGGAGGAAACUACCCCUAAUGCAGGUGGUGGUGUAUUUUUAGGUUUUUUUUUUUGCUGAGGAGGGAUGGUUUUAGGCAACCUGGAUGCUUGGGGUUUUGGGAGUUUUCCAAGUGUCCAGCUGUUUCAGUUGGCUGAAAUAUGUUCUUUUUCCUAUUUUGGAAUAUCCUUUCUCAUUGGUGUACCUGAUGAGAUUUGUGGCCCUGAGUGGUGCUGAGUGCUUCAGACGGUACCUGAAUAGUCUAAUAUGCUCUGUAGAGGUUUCAGCCUCUUUCAAAAACAGGACUUUGAAUCCUAUUCCUGCUAUGUGUUGCCUACCAUAUUGCACUACAUACUGCCUGUGAAUGUUACACGUACUAGAAAAAAAUUGUUUCAUUCCUGUAAUGGAUGUGUUAAUAUUGACUGUGAAUUUGACAGUUCUUUAAAAACAAGCUUGGGAUGGCUGUGCAUCUUUCUAGGUUUGAAAUAUCUUUGUGCUCUGCAAAUCCCAUGGGAAGCAUACGCUCUACAGACUUCUCAUGCUGAAUGCUUCAGGUUGAUUGGAUUUGUUGCUUCAGAAUGGCUAAUAGGUUGCUUGAUGACAGCCCCUUUGAGCUUAAAAUCAUUAAGAAAGAAAAUACUUAUAGCAUCUUGUCUGGACCACCUACAUUUCUGUGGCAAGUUACGUGUGUGUGUUGGAAUUCCUUUGUCCUCACAAAUGUUAAAUUAAAAGAGACUUGAAUUUAUUUGUGGAGAUCUGAUGUUGAACAGGUCCAAAAUGCUAUUUAACCCAUAAAAGCAUUCAUUGUAAGCAUACUAUUGAAGGCAUAACUACAUUUGAUUAAUGAGUGAUGACUUAAUGUACUUUGGUGAAUUAAACUGAGAAUUUUGCUCUGGAGCAUUUUCUCCCCAAGAAUACUGAUAGCUGCCAUACAGUUUGCUCCUGCCUAGUCAACUAUGUUUUGAUUACACUAAGGCACAGACAGAGCAGUUUAUUGGUCUGGAAUAUUUGUUUGGACCAUUUUUUGGUCACAGUGUAUGGUGAAUGUAUACUCUGCUUAAUUCUGUUCUGCGGUCAUGCAAGGACAAAGAUAUUCGUAAAUUACAUUUAGUUGUCUUUCUUACAAGCUAACAGUCAAUGUUAACAUAUGAAUAUGUGAGACUGCCUUCAUUACAAUUCCAAUUUGUUUAAGAUUUCCAAGGUGUUGGUAAGGUUUCUGAGUCAUAGCAAAGAAUUUUUAAACAAUCUUCAAACAACUUUUUCCUUAAACAAUGCUGUUUUGAUCAUAUUGUCAAAUAUGGUGGAUAACAGCAAAGAGGGCCUUAUAUGCUGGUGUUUCCCUCCAGACAAAUUUCUCCACUGUAUGGCAACAUUAUUAUUUUCUUGAGGUCUUUAUGAAAGGCACCUCUUCUCCACUUCAUUUAGGCAGUAUGAGCAAGUGGUGGAAUAAUAUCUGCCAAAAGACAGAGAUGGCAAAAAUAUGAAUUCUCAUACAAACUGUAUACAGUCAGAAGUAAUUGCAGCAGCUUGUAAGACUCCAGGCCCCGAGCUAUGAACUCACUGAAGGGUUUUUACUUUAAAAAUAUAAAAGGCUCUGACAAUAUUCACCCUCCAGAUUGUUAGAAGAGCCUUCAGUUGUUUUAACACCAUAAAGAGAGCACAAAGGAGAAAAGCUGCAUUUUUUCUCUGAAGGUACUUUUACUGGUAAGCUUUAGAAAAUAUGAGUACUUGGCAAAAGUUUUAAGGGUAAUAUUCAACCAAAAUAAAGUAUUCCACAAAGCACUGACUUAGCAUAUAACCCAUAUAACUUAGUAAAAUCCAACCCAUCUGGUCUCAAGCUACCCAAAAUAUUAAGAAGGGAGAUGAGGAGGAGGAGGAGAAGAAGAAGAAAAAGUAGAGAAAGAGAGAGAGAAAAAGAGAAUUAUAGCUACCAGCCUUUGAACCAGCAUAGGUCCAGCCACACGAGUCCAGAAAAUGGAGGGUUCAAACCAACCAAUAGAGAGCACGCAUUGCUACUUUUAUGUGCUAUGGCCCCUGUGCCCACAGUUCCCACCCCCAGGCGGGACUUCCACUGUGCCAUCCAAUCUGGGGCUGGGUUAGGGGCUCCAGAGUGUGGAAUGGGGGAGUGUUCCCGGUGUCCUAGGUCUGAGAGCUGCUUUGGGGCUGCCCCAGUAGGCUCUCAGGGGCUUGGAUAUGGGGUAGGGCAUUCCUCCAUGAACUUUGACCUCUCCCUUUAUCCCCAUCCCCCCCACCCCGACUUGAGUUGGUCUGAGCCAAUAGUUAAUAUAAUUACCCAGUGUCUCAGCUUAAAAGUAAGUCAUACCCUGAGCCUUUCCUUACUGUCCCUCAACUAUUUAAAUCAACGAGGAUUAAGCUGAGCUGUUUGACAUGCCCUGAAACACAGCCACUAGAGCACUGUUAAGGGGUGAAGGCACACCAGUUUUAUAAACAAUUUGUUUGGUUUAAAGAACAGUUUGUUCCAGGAACAUGAUUUUCAAAAUCCCUGGCCCCACUCUAAAAACACCUAUGAAGUUUUCUUGGAUUAUAAAUUCAUGCUUUCUGUUGCCUCAGCUGCCUGAGUUUUGUUAGGGAGGAAUAGCUUAGUCAUUACUGCACAUCUACAAACAUCUCAAACUAGGUACUCUCCCUCCUCAGAGGUCUGACCUAGAAAGGACGCUCAGAGCACACUGUGCUUCGUGCAGAACAGAGCUCCCGCUGCUUCUGGUAACAGCUGCUGGGAGGGUAAUGCUGCCUCUUCCCUCACACUCUAAUUCAAGACCCUGAUGUCCAGAGCAUAAACAGCUGAGAAGAUCUGGCUGUGGUUCUUGCCCUUGCCUGUGAGGAUUCAGAUCACAGCCCUUGCCUUCCAGCUAUAGCUGGACUUCCAAGCUGAUAUAUUAUGAAGAUAAAUCAGCCUUGUGUUUGUCAUUCUCCAAGAAGGUAAAGAAGGCAAUCCUCAACAGCACAGAGACUUGACUUGCAAUGAAAGCAAGAAGGUGCAGUGUUUAUUCACCUGCAGCAGAAGCUUCAUGUGGCAUGGGACAUGUGGUUAAGGGAUUAUAAGCAGCCUGUUGCAUAUGCUUUAGGGACUAUCACUCCAGAGGUUCUAGCCGUGGUAAUUCUACUUGGUAUGAAAGAAGCACACAACAUGAUAUCUUAGCUAUAAUGCACCUGCCUAGCUGGAAAUUCUUCAUGAGAACUUUUGGGGUCCUUGAUAUGAUCCAUUUGCCACCUUCUUAGUGACAGCCAUACCUGAUACCUGUCAUUAGGAGAUAGUUUUCAAAAAAUGCCAACCUUCGAUUGUGUGAUACUUUAGGUAUGAUAAGCAAAUUGCUCAGAUAAAGGGUAGGUAGCCUUACCUGCAGUUAUCUAUGACUCUUGGCAUUUAUUUCCUGCAGUUAACUGUUAAACAACAGCUGUCCCACUUUAAUGAGUGUUAAAAAAAGUACAGCAGCUCAUUAUUUCUCUUUCCUAACAGGCCCAUUUUAGAAGCCUUCACUUAGCAGUUCUUGUGAUUCAUGCCAAAUGGAACUCAUUUCCAUGACUAUUAAGGAUCAUUUGCAGAGAGUUACACAUAACACAGCACAGGUUUGCACUGAACCCUCUCUGAAAGCUCAUUUUUCUGCUGGCUAUGCUCUGUAUCACAGCAGCACCGUGCCCAUCUGUGGGUCUCCCUGCAUCUGUGUGAACAGAAGCACGGUAUAAAACCAAAAAGGUUAAAUGAAAAGAUAUACUGCCAAUAGAAACCUUUUAUAUCUUUUGAA